UAUAAGGAUAUUAUUCCUCAGAUUAGAAACACGUAAAGAUGAAGACAGUCGCCUUACUUCUCCUUCUGUGCCUUCUGUCCCUGGUAAUUGUUGACCCAGUCGUUAGUCAGGGUGGAUGUGUGAGAAGAUGUAGGCACAGAGACUGUUACAGGUACUGUAGGAGCCGGGGGUACCUGACAGGAUCCUGUCGACGCUCAAUCUUCUGUCCGCGGAGUAGGCCAAGAAGAUGUGGUUGUCACUUUAGAAAGCCGUAUGGUGGAUGAAACAAAGAACAACAUGCAAUGUGCACAUUGACAUCAAUAAAGAGAAAUAAAAUAGGUGUUUAUGUUUUUAAGCAUGUAAGCACGAUCUG